AUUUACCCCUUUUUUCCCUUCUCAUUUACCGUCCUUAUCUUUUCCUCUGUAUUUCUUUCUUUGUUAAGAAAAAACCCAGGAUCAUCAUCUUAAUAUAAUCAAAUCAACUCCAAAGAAGACAGGUAUGUUAAAAAUCCCAUAAAUUAUCACGAUUAAAUGUUAAAGUUCUUUUUAUCUGUUUGCCAAAGUUCUAUUCUUGUAUAUAGUUUUUUUUUUCCGUUUCUGAUUCAGGCCAAAGUAAGGUCCGGGAGUGUCCUUUUUUGACACGCUUCAAGGUGUGUCCGGUACGUAUCCGGCCGUGUUGGUAGAGUGUCCGUGCCGGACACCAGUACGACACUAGUACGAGGGGAUUUUCCCCGUGUCGGUGCUUCCUAGGUUCUCUGCCUUCUGCACUCUUCUUUCAAGCUCCAGAUUACUUCAAGCUCCCUAGUUUCUUGCUUUUAAGCUCCCAAUUCCUUCAACCUCACUACUUUCUCCUUCAACCAACCUCAUCCCAUUUCUCAUACCUUUCAUUUUUUUACUAUUUUCGGCCAAAAUACCUAGAAAGGAAACUAUUGCAUGGACAGCCCUUUUAGUAACGGCUUAUAUUGGGGUUCUCAUCUUACUUGCACAUUCUGCUUUAGGAGAAAAGUUGUUUAAAGUGUUUGUAGGUCAAUGGUAUUACGUUCCUGUUUUAUUACAUAUUCGGCACUUGAUUCUCCUCUCUCGUUAUGUUUUCCCUGCUAAUGUUUAGACGAAGUUGGGAAAAUAUGAGAUUAUAGUUAAGAUAUGUCUAGAGUUCCUUACCAGUUGGAGUCUAUUUUUUUUUCUAUUUAAAAUAACUGCUUGGAAUGAUAUAGACCAAUAUUUUGUAUGGAUUCCUUACUUCUAAAAAGUAAGGAAUUUAUAUUCAUCUAGGUUUGCAAUACUCAGUUUAGGAAUUUUAUCUUUUGUAUUAUUGUUAUUAUGUAGUUUCGUUAAGUACCGUGAUAACGUUUUACAUUAUGCAAAUGUUGUUCAUCCAUCGAGUGAAGGUGACGAAGAGGCGCAAGCAAAUGUGAAUCAAGUUUCGCCUUAGGAACGUACAUGGUUGACACCAUGUCAAUCCUAUUCCAAGCCUGGCAACGUCUACUCCCAUACCUCGGAGCAAGCCUACUCACACCGGCAGUAGGCUCAACCUCGACACUAGAAGUAGGUGCAGGAGGGUGACGCCUGGUCUCACACCUUAGUGCAAGCUCAAUCUCGAUACUAGUAGUAGGCUUAUCCUUGACUCCAGAAGUAGGUGCAGUAGGGUGAUGCCUACUCUUAGACCUCAUAGUAAGCUCAAACUAGGCACCAGCAGUUGGCAAAGGAGAAACAUUUGAAGGUAUAGAGAUGCGAUGCUCUUGUUCAGAAGCAUCGCCACCUUCCC
rnacentral:lncRNA from 1 species